UAAAGGGUAAUGCAUCAGUGUCGCUGCUCUUACGAUGCUUUUGUUUUUACAUUUUGCGUUUCUAACUGAAUAAAGUUACUCCGUUUUUACAUCAGUCUCUGUCCUUCCCUAGACAUCGCUUUUAUCUGUCCACAGUCUGUACUUUGCAGCAGUCCCAGCACGCACGUACCUUGAGGUACAGCAUAUUGCCAAUAUCCUCUUGGGAUCUUCUGGUUAAUUUUGUGUAAUCUUGCUGAAGAGAAGUAUGGCUUGUUAUUAGCAAGCGAAAGGAGAAUCCAGUGUUUGGGGCACUGAUUUCACACUUCCCACAGAGCAGUGUAAUAGGAAACACAUCCUCAGUCACCCACAAAAUUCAUGUUAAUCCUUCAGAAUUGUAAAUGUAACAUCCCCUGCACCCACCUGGAAUUGGCAUCAGCUUCCAGUGAUGCUCAAGCUGUCUGUCCAGAGAAACCCUGAGGAUCCUGGACAGCCUCGUAGCACUGCUGAAAAGCCAUCUCAGUUGGUUCCUGUUGGCCAGACAGGGAUUCACACCACACUUCACUGAAAUGCUCUAUUGGCAGCUUGAUUCAGGCUGUUCCAGGAGCAAGUGUCCAAAACGAUGGAUGCUGCCAGGACACUGAGCACACAAAUCUGCCCGAGAGCAACUGGCACCCAAACUUUUGCCAGCCCCCUGGACUUCUAUUGCCAGCCAGAAGCAGUCCUACAGACUAGGGACAGCUGUGCAUGGUAUCUUUUAGCGAGGCACAGCUAGGUUCUUCAUUGUUUGCAUUUUUCUGGAUGUCUUAGUGGUGCAUUCCUAUGUAAAUAGGUUUUAAAUUAUGGGGUUUAAAUAAAGCAUUACCCUUCACUUUCAGGAAGGAACAGUACGGUAGCUUUCUGCCAGAUCUGUGCUUUGUUUACCUGGGGCUCUGGCAUGCAGGCAUGUGCAGAGAGGAGGAUUCAAAUCCCAUCCUCUUCAUUCUGUGGGGUGGAAAAGGCAAAGUCAGGUUCCAGUACGUUAACUACAGAAAAGGGAGACAUUGCAACAUGGACAGCUACAGCAUUAUCACCUGCAGCUUCUCUACAGAGAGAGGAUGCUCUCUGCUGUCCAGCACCAGUCCUGAGACCAUGAUCACAGGUGAAGGAAAAAUACAGCUAUAAUGCAGCCAACUACAGCCACAGAGCCUGCUUCUUAACAGAGACAUCGCUUUUACCUGCUGACUGAAAGGAGCAGGACAGGGAGAAGCAUUCACCCGUAAAGAACUGUUCACUGUUGCGGUGCAAGGUACCUCAGUCCUGGCAUGUUGCCAUAGCUGCAGGUAACAUCCGUUCCCUCCCUACUCUCUGCUUUCCAACUUAGUGGGGGCUGAGCAACCUGGAAAGCAUGGCAAAAGUUGGGUUUUGUAUUCCAAAGUAUCAGGCCUUUUAUCCAAAAAACAGAUAAGCAAAGCCAAUAAAUUGACAUCUCUGAUAAGCUAAA